AUAUCAAUAAGCGGAGGAAAAGAAACUAACAAGGAUUCCCCUAGUAACUGCGAGUGAAGCGGGAAAAGCUCAAAUUUGAAAUCUGGCAGUUCUUGACUGUCCGAGUUGUAAUCUAGAGAAGUGUUACCUGUGCUGGACCGUGUAAAAGUCUCCUGGAAUGGAGCAUCAUAGAGGGUGAGAAUCCCGUCUUUGACAUGGACUACCUGUACGUUGUGGUACGCUCUCGAAGAGUCGAGUUGUUUGGGAAUGCAGCUCAAAAUGGGUGGUAAAUGCCAUCUAAAGCUAAAUAUUGGCGAGAGACCGAUAGCGAACAAGUACCGUGAGGGAAAGAUGAAAAGAACUUUGGAAAGAGAGUUAAACAGUACGUGAAAUUGCUGAAAGGGAAACGCUUGAAGUCAGUCGCGUCGGCUUGGAAUCAGCCUUGCUUUUGCUCGGUGUACUUCCUGGUUGACGGGUCAGCAUCAAUUUUGACCACUGGAUAAAGUCCUUGGGAAUGUGGCAUCCUUGUGAUGUGUUAUAGCCCUGGGUCUCAUACGGUGGUUGGGAUUGAGGAACUCAGCACGAGGGCUGCAAGGCUUUUUGGGUUUCGACCACAUUCGUGCUUAGGAUGCUGGCAGAAUGGCUUUAAUCGACCCGUCUUGAAACACGGACCAAGGAGUCUAACAUGCCUGCRAGUGUUUGGGUGGAAAACCCAUGCGCGUAAUGAAAGUGAAAAGUUGAGAUCCCACUUCAGGGAGCAUUGACGCCCGGACCAGACCUUCUGUGACGGAUCCGCGGUAGAGCAAGUAUGUUGGGACCCGAAAGAUGGUGAACUAUGCCUGAAUAGGGUGAAGCCAGGGGAAACUCUGGUGGAGGCUCGUAGCGAUUCUGACGUGCAAAUCGAUCGUCAAAUUUGGGUAUAGGGGCGAAAGACUAAUCGAACCAUCUAGUAGCUG
rnacentral:rRNA from 1 species